GAUGAACGCUGGCGGCGUGCUUAACACAUGCAAGUCGAACGGAAAGGCCCAAGCUUGCUUGGGUACUCGAGUGGCGAACGGGUGAGUAACACGUGGGUGAUCUGCCCUGCACUUCGGGAUAAGCCUGGGAAACUGGGUCAAAUACCGGAUAGGACCACUUCUUGGAUGUUGUGGUGGAAAGUUUUUUCGGUGUGGGAUGAGCUCGCGGCCUAUCAGCUUGUUGGUGGGGUAAUGGCCUACCAAGGCGUCGACGGGUAGCCGGCCUGAGAGGGUGUACGGCCACAUUGGGACUGAGAUACGGCCCAGACUCCUACGGGAGGCAGCAGUGGGGAAUAGUGCACAAUGGGCGCAAGCCUGAUGCAGCGACGCCGCGUGGGGGAUGACGGCCUUCGGGUUGUAAACUCCUUUCGCUAGGGACGAAGCGUUUUGUGACGGUACCUGGAGAAGAAGCACCGGCUAACUACGUG
rnacentral:rRNA from 1 species